rnacentral:rRNA from 1 species
AUACGGAGGGUGCAAGCGUUACUGGGAAUCACUGGGCGUAAAGCGCGCGCAGGCGGUCUUUUAAGUUGGAUGUGAAAGCCUACGGCUCAACCGUAGAACUGCAUCCAAAACUAUUAGACUAGAGUGUGGGAGAGGAAGAUGGAAUUAGUUGUGUAGGGGUAAAAUCCGUAGAGAUAACUAGGAAUACCAAAAGCGAAGGCAAUCUUCUGGAACACUACUGACGCUGAGGCGCGAAAGCGUGGGGAGCAAACAGGAUUAGAAACCCCAGUAGUCC